AACGAACGCUGGCGGCAGGCCUAAUACAUGCAAGUCGAACGCACCGCAAGGUGAGUGGCAGACGGGUGAGUAACGCGUGGGAACCUUCCUAGUAGUACGGAAUAACUCCGGGAAACCGGUGCUAAUACCGUAUAAGCCCGUCCGGGGGAAAGAUUUAUCGCUACUAGAUGGGCCCGCGUCGGAUUAGCUUGUUGGUGAGGUAAUGGCUCACCAAGGCUUCGAUCCGUAGCUGGUCUGAGAGGAUGAUCAGCCACACUGGGACUGAGACACCGGCCCAGACUCCGUACGGGAGGCAGCAGGUAGGGAAUAUUGGACAAGUGGGCGCAAGCCUGAUCCAGCCAU
rnacentral:rRNA from 1 species